rnacentral:rRNA from 1 species
UCUCUAUGCGGUGUCAGCCGCCGCGGUAAUACGAAGGGUGCAAGCGUUACUCGGAAUUACUGGGCGUAAAGCGUGCGUAGGUGGUUGUUUAAGUCUGUUGUGAAAGCCCUGGGCUCAACCUGGGAACUGCAGUGGAAACUGGACAACUAGAGUGUGGUAGAGGGUAGCGGAAUUCCCGGUGUAGCAGUGAAAUGCGUAGAGAGUCGGGAGGAACACUCCAGUGGCGAAGGCAGCUACCUGGACCAACACUGACACUGAGGCACGAAAGCGGUGGGGAG